UAACCACUCAAGCCUAGCUUGGUAUUGGGGUUCGCGUGUUCGCGGCCCUUAAAAUCAGUGGCGGUGCCGUCUGGCUCUAAGCGUAGUAAAUCUCUCGCUAUAGGGUUCCGGCGGUUGCUUGCCAAAACCCCCCAUUUUCUCA
rnacentral:misc_RNA from 1 species